AAGCUAUCGCUUUUGGAUGGACCCGCGGCGUAUUAGCUAGUUGGUGAGGUAACGGCUCACCAAGGCAAUGAUACGUAGCCGAACUGAGAGGUUGAUCGGCCACAUUGGGACUGAGACACGGCCCAAACUCCUACGGGAGGCAGCAGUAGGGAAUCUUCCACAAUGGACGCAAGUCUGAUGGAGCAACGCCGCGUGAGUGAAGAAGGCUUUCGGGUCGUAAAACUCUGUUGUUGGAGAAGAAUGGUCGGCAGAGUAACUGUUGUCGGCGUGACGGUAUCCAACCAGAAAGCCACGGCUAACUACGUGCCAGCAGCCGCGGUAAUACGUAGGUGGCAAGCGUUAUCCGGAUUUAUUGGGCGUAAAGCGAGCGCAGGCGGUUUUUUAAGUCUGAUGUGAAAGCCCUCGGCUUAACCGAGGAAGUGCAUCGGAAACUGGGAAACUUGAGUGCAGAAGAGGACAGUGGAACUCCAUGUGUAGCGGUGAAAUGCGUAGAUAUAUGGAAGAACACCAGUGGCGAAGGCGGCUGUCUGGUCUGUAACUGACGCUGAGGCUCGAAAGCAUGGGUAGCGAACAGGAUUAGAUACCCUGGUAGUCCAUGCCGUAAACGAUGAAUGCUAGGUGUUGGAGGGUUUCCGCCCUUCAGUGCCGCAGCUAACGCAUUAAGCAUUCCGCCUGGGGAGUACGACCGCAAGGUUGAAACUCAAAGGAAUUGACGGGGGCCCGCACAAGCGGUGGAGCAUGUGGUUUAAUUCGAAGCAACGCGAAGAACCUUACCAGGUCUUGACAUCUUUUGAUCACCUGAGAGAUCAGGUUUCCCCUUCGGGGGCAAAAUGACAGGUGGUGCAUGGUUGUCGUCAGCUCGUGUCGUGAGAUGUUGGGUUAAGUCCCGCAACGAGCGCAACCCUUAUGACUAGUUGCCAGCAUUUAGUUGGGCACUCUAGUAAGACUGCCGGUGACAAACCGGAGGAAGGUGGGGAUGACGUCAAAUCAUCAUGCCCCUUAUGACCUGGGCUACACACGUGCUACAAUGGAUGGUACAACGAGUUGCGAGACCGCGAGGUCAAGCUAAUCUCUUAAAGCCAUUCUCAGUUCGGACUGUAGGCUGCAACUCGCCUACACGAAGUCGGAAUCGCUAGUAAUCGCGGAUCAGCACGCCGCGGUGAAUACGUUCCCGGGCCUUGUACACACCGCCCGUCACACCAUGAGAGUUUGUAACACCCGAAGCCGGUGGCGUAACCCUUUUAGGGAGCGAGCCGUCUAAGGUGGGACAAAUGAUUAGGGUGAAGUCGUAACAAGGUAGCCGUAGGAGAACCUGCGGCUGGAUCACCUCCUUUCUAAGGAA
rnacentral:rRNA from 2 species